rnacentral:rRNA from 1 species
AACGAACGCUGGCGGCGUGCCUAACACAUGCAAGUCGAACGAGAAAACCCUUCGGGGUGAGUAAAGUGGCGCACGGGUGAGUAACACGUGGGUAACCUUCCCUAAAGACUGGGACAACCUUCCGAAAGGAGGGCUAAUACUAGAUAAGACCACAGGGUCUGCGGACCUAGGGGUAAAAGAUGCAGCAAUGUAUCGCUAUAGGAUGGGCCCGCGUCGCAUUAGCUAGUUGGUGGGGUAAAAGCCUACCAAGGCUACGAUGCGUAGCUGGUCUGAGAGGACGGCCAGCCACACUGGAACUGAGACACGGUCCAGACUCCUACGGGAGGCAGCAGUGGGGAAUAUUGGACAAUGGGGGAAACCCUGAUCCAGCGACGCCGCGUGGGUGAUGAAGGCCUUCGGGUCGUAAAGCCCUGUUGGGGGGGGCGGAACAGCGGACUAACAAACCGCCUUGACUUAACCCCCUGAGGAAGCACCGGCUAACUCUGUGCCAGCAGCCGCCGUAA